rnacentral:rRNA from 1 species
UACGGAGGGGGCGAGCGUUGUCCGGAGUUACUGGGCGUAAAGCGCGUGUAGGCGGGUUGCCAAGUCCGCUGUGAAAGCCCGAGGCUCAACCUCGGAGGGUCGGUGGAUACUGGCAGUCUUGAAGGUGCUAGGGGGAGAUGGAAUUACCGGUGUAGCGGUGAAAUGCGUAGAGAUCGGUAGGAACACCAGUGGCGAAGGCGGCGUGCUGGGUUGCAACUGACGCUGAGAUGCGAAAGUGUGGGGAGCAAACGGG